GCUAUGAAAUAAACCGGAAAUAAACUGUAAGUAGACGGCUCCAGUGCCGUGGACGAAGCAAUCCAUUAUUCAGCAAAUUUCAUUUUCGUAUUGAAAGGGAUAAAGUUGAAAAGGUGAAUUGAUGACAGAUCAUAAUUUGUAAAAAAAAAGAAGAGAAAUGGCAUCUCCCAAUAUUUUGCCAGAAACAGAAUCUAUAGGUGCCUGUCUACUACUACUUCAGUCAGAAUGCCUGUCACAAGCAGAUUUUAAAGCAGCCAUUGAUUUGGUUAUAAAAAUAUGCAGAAAUAUAGAAGCAAAUCCUCAAGAAGAAAAAUAUAAAAAAAUAAAAAAGGACAGCAAAUCUUUAAGUAAGAAAAUAUGGCAGUUUAGUGGUGGACAAGAGUUGAUGUUAGCAAUAGGAUGGGUUGAGGUAGAUGAUAAUAUAAUGUAUAUAGAAGAGAAAGAUUUACCUUCCAUUAUAAAGUUUUUAGAAGAUAAAUUAAAAGAAAAUGGUUUUGAUUCAACAAGUGUUCAGUCUUCUACCAAUAUACAAGUUAGUAAUGGUUGGACAGCUGAAGAGAUUAGAAAAAAAGAGAAAUUAUUAGAAAUAGAAAAAGAGAAGAGAUUAGCAUCUAUUAAAAGAAAACGAGAAGAAGAAAAAAGAGUAAAGGCACAGAUUGAAGCUGAUAGGAAUAAUAUAAAUGCUAGAGAAUUAAAAGCCUCGAAAGCUGUAGAAAGGAAGGGAGGUAGUAAUGUAAAAAGAUUUGCCGAUAUCGGUGUUGAUGUUAAUGGCCAAGAGGGUGGAUGAGGUUAAAGUUCCCAGCUAUAAGCUGGAUUAUGACCAGGUCUUGGUUUCUCGAUGUAUCUGAUGAUAGUUUUUAUCUUAAAUAGCAUAAAGAUAAUGACUGGAUGGUGUUACAUCAUAGUACAGAAACCAGGAAUUAAUUCUCAUAUACCUCAUUAACAAUUCUUUAUAUGUUAACUUAUUUAUAUUUGAUAAUGAUAUAAAAAUUUGUUGUAAGGCCGCACGAAUUUGAUUUUCAGUUCUUCAAGGUUGGCUGAAUUGUUUAACCGGUGUGCAUUAGAUCGCAAGGUCUGUCAAGUCGUAUAGUUUCGAAUCCCGCUUGUAUGUGACAAGGAGUAGGGUCGUCUGUCAAACCUCGUAAGUUUUCUCUGGGUCCCUUACACACAAGCGAAUUAUUGAAUAACCUGGAAUAACCUAGUUUGUGUCAAGUGGAGGUUAAAUUCCAUUUCUCUCUCUCUUCUGCAUCUUGAUCAAUAAAUAGUCUUUUGAAUCUUGUGCAAGAUGUUUUGUUUUAUAAAAUUUCAAAACUUAAAAAUUUGGAACUAAAAGCUUUUGACAGCACUACGAUACACUGUUGGUUUUUAAAAUAAGUUUUUUUUCUCAAAGAAAUAAGAAGGAAUAUUUUGUAGGUGUUCGCAAAGAACAAAAAAUCAAUUUGGUGUGGCCUAAAAGUAUUUCAUUUAUUUCAUCAAUCAUCAUCAUCUGGAAGAGAUUCAUUUUGUAGAUAUCUUUUAUGUGUUUGUUGUAAUUGUAUAUUUUUAUUGUCAUGUAGAUUGUAUAUUAUAAAAUAAAGGUUUAUCUUUUAACAUA